CGGAGAGUUUGAUCCUGGCUCAGGACGAACGCUGGCGGCGUGCUUAACACAUGCAAGUCGAACGGAAAGGCCCUGCUUUUGUGGGGUGCUCGAGUGGCGAACGGGUGAGUAACACGUGAGUAACCUGCCCUUGACUUUGGGAUAACUUCAGGAAACUGGGGCUAAUACCGGAUAGGAGCUCCUGCUGCAUGGUGGGGGUUGGAAAGUUUCGGCGGUUGGGGAUGGACUCGCGGCUUAUCAGCUUGUUGGUGGGGUAGUGGCUUACCAAGGCUUUGACGGGUAGCCGGCCUGAGAGGGUGACCGGCCACAUUGGGACUGAGAUACGGCCCAGACUCCUACGGGAGGCAGCAGUGGGGAAUAUUGCACAAUGGGCGGAAGCCUGAUGCAGCAACGCCGCGUGCGGGAUGACGGCCUUCGGGUUGUAAACCGCUUUCGCCUGUGACGAAGCGUGAGUGACGGUAAUGGGUAAAGAAGCACCGGCUAACUACGUGCCAGCAGCCGCGGUGAUACGUAGGGUGCGAGCGUUGUCCGGAUUUAUUGGGCGUAAAGGGCUCGUAGGUGGUUGAUCGCGUCGGAAGUGUAAUCUUGGGGCUUAACCCUGAGCGUGCUUUCGAUACGGGUUGACUUGAGGAAGGUAGGGGAGAAUGGAAUUCCUGGUGGAGCGGUGGAAUGCGCAGAUAUCAGGAGGAACACCAGUGGCGAAGGCGGUUCUCUGGGCCUUUCCUGACGCUGAGGAGCGAAAGCGUGGGGAGCGAACAGGCUUAGAUACCCUGGUAGUCCACGCUGUAAACGGUGGGUACUAGGUGUGGGGUCCAUUCCACGGGUUCCGUGCCGUAGCUAACGCUUUAAGUACCCCGCCUGGGGAGUACGGCCGCAAGGCUAAAACUCAAAGGAAUUGACGGGGCCCCGCACAAGCGGCGGAGCAUGCGGAUUAAUUCGAUGCAACGCGUAGAACCUUACCUGGGUUUGACAUGGAUCGGGAGUGCUCAGAGAUGGGUGUGCCUCUUUUGGGGUCGGUUCACAGGUGGUGCAUGGCUGUCGUCAGCUCGUGUCGUGAGAUGUUGGGUUAAGUCCCGCAGCGAGCGCAACCCUUGUUCACUGUUGCCAGCACGUUAUGGUGGGGACUCAGUGGAGACCGCCGGGGUCAACUCGGAGGAAGGUGGGGAUGACGUCAAGUCAUCAUGCCCCUUAUGUCCAGGGCUUCACGCAUGCUACAAUGGCUGGUACAGAGAGUGGCGAGCCUGUGAGGGUGAGCGAAUCUCGGAAAGCCGGUCUCAGUUCGGAUUGGGGUCUGCAACUCGACCUCAUGAAGUCGGAGUCGCUAGUAAUCGCAGAUCAGCAACGCUGCGGUGAAUACGUUCCCGGGGCUUGUACACACCGCCCGUCAAGUCAUGAAAGUUGGUAACACCCGAAGCCGGUGGCCUAACCGUUGUGGGGGAGCCGUCGAAGGUGGGACUGGUGAUUAGGACUAAGUCGUAACAAGGUAGCCGUA
rnacentral:rRNA from 1 species